rnacentral:misc_RNA from 1 species
UUUAGUUUGAUAAUUAGAAUUUAGGAACCCUGUUGCAAAAAAUAAGUUUUUAUUCAGAAAACUGAAGUGAAAAGAAAGCUCAUGGACUAUUCUGACGUAUGGUGCUUUGUGUGGGGACUGUGGAGUAGUCAUGGAUGUCGAAAUCAGCAAUUCUGAAUUCUGGAGUCUUGUCAUGGGGUUUUUUACAUUGUGGUUUGUUGCGUGAUGGGUUGGCUUUGAAGUUUGAGACUGAGUUAAAAGACUGAGCUAAAAUCUCUGCGAUGCACCGCAGAUAUCUGCAGCCAGCAGCAGGAACAGGCUGCAGUUGCACCGGUGGGGGAAAGAUGAUACUGAUUCUGAUUGAUUUUCCCUUUGCUUGGCUUAGCCUUCUUGAUAUGGAUAAAGCGUAUGUCAGUGGAGAACGUGGCUAGGGUUGUGCUGGCCAGUUUUCUUUUUCAGAGAGAGAUGCUUUGCUUUAUCCAGUACGUUCUUAAAAGUUGAAAGCUCUCUUCCAAAACCCACUUUAAUUUCUUUCUGAUCUUCUGUACUUUCUUUUGUCUACUUCUUUG